ACUUAACACUACGGCGCUACAAACUCGGUUUUUCAUUUGCAAACUUUAUUUAAAAAAUGUUAUGUGAUAGAAAGUUAGUUUUGUAAGAUCAUUUUAUUAAGUAUAUAUACCAGACCUUUUUACAGGUAGCUGUGUCUACCUCUAUAGGAUGUCAGUUAACCCAGAUAUACCAAGUAUAUCUUGGAGUUAACUAUAACAUGUAUUUAUUACUCUGGAUGAAUAAAUAAAUAUAUAAAUAGAAAAACAGUGUUUUUUGGGACAUCCCCUUAACAUUAUAGCUUAGGCAAUUUUGGCAGUCCGCCCUUGUCACUGGCGGACCGACGCGCCGCCUGGCGGACCACCACGACGUGGCGAGCGCGAGCUCCAAUUGGAAUUUGCAGUGCAGAAGAGAGACCUCAAUCUUUAUAUUUAUAUUUAGUCCUGCUGAGUCUGACGACUGACCUCCUAGUCUGUUUGAUCGUAGCAGACAACCGUGAACCGACGAAAAAGAUAAAGAAAAUAAUAUAAGAAGUUUAAUACCUCUUAUUCGGCUGAUAUUAUUUGCGGCGCAAAAAAUAAAAGUAGAAGAAACAAGGCUUAAUUAUGGUUGAAUCAACAGUUAUUGUUCACACUUUUUUGUGGACAUUUAUGAUUGCUGCGAUUUCUACAGAUUUUUUUAAUGGAAGAUUCGAUUUAUGUGGGCCUUAUCCACGAAGACCACUGCAGGAUAAGAAUCAGGAUCGAUGGCCAAAAAAGGACUAACUGAAUGGUUGAAGAAAUUAUUAAUGAAAUAGGUCAAUUUAUAAUAAAAUGUAAUGUAUGAUAAAUAAAUUGUUUUCGACCAA